rnacentral:rRNA from 1 species
UACGGGGGGGGCAAGCGUUGUUCGGAAUUACUGGGCGUAAAGGGCGCGUAGGCGGCCUGCUGAGUCGGAUGUGAAAUCCCUCGGCUCAACCGGGGAACUGCAUCCGAUACUGGCGGGCUUGAAUCCGGGAGAGGGAUGUGGAAUUCCAGGUGUAGCGGUGAAAUGCGUAGAUAUCUGGAGGAACACCGGUGGCGAAGGCGGCAUCCUGGACCGGUAUUGACGCUGAGGCGCGAAAGCCAGGGGAGCAAACGGG